UCCAUUUCCUACUGUGACAUCGCGUGCUAUUUGUAACCCGAACUGUCAAAUCAUGUGAAGCGCAUAUAUAUAUUUCGCCUAUUACAUUACGUGAAAAAAAAAAAUUCACAUUCGCUAUUGUGUGCUUAAUUAUUCGUUGGUCUUUUUAGUGAAGUGCUAAAUAAUGUUUGAGUUGCCAGCAGAAUUAACUGCUAAGCCAUUAGCUCUGAUAGGGCUGACAGGACUGGAUGUCGCGAAUCCAGUACAUCGUUCUAUCUGGGAUGCAUUUAGCAACAAUCGUAGACUAGACUGUGCAGCUGUUCAAUUUAAAUUGCUCAGCUUGUCCCAUGAAUUUCCCACUGUUAAACCCAAGCGUAGCUCGUAUGAAUGGUAUAUUCCCAAAGGAAUAUUAAAAAGAAACUGGAUGAACAAAUAUCUUAAUGAUAUUCCUUCUGUAGUUGUUGUAUUCUACGAUUUGGACUGGAAUGAUCCUUUGUGGAAUGAGAAGAAAAUGGAAUGUGCUUCCAGAGUGCAGUCCCUGAGAGCUGCACUUGAUGGAAGAAGUACAAAACUAGCUGUGGUAUUGAUACAGCGUGCUGUUCAACCGCUUCCUGGUUCUGAAGAUGUAGUUGCAACCGAGCGUGCAACAGCACUAUGCGGAGCUUGCGAUUUGACAGCAAAAUUAUUAUAUGUUCUUCCACACGCUGAUCAUCUGUUAGGAUAUAUAUCCAGACUAGAGACGGCAUUCUACGAUUUGGCGCAAAACUUUUAUUAUCAUGAAUAUAAGAACGUGAAGAGUCAUCGCGAUCAGCUCACUAAAAAUGUUCAUCAAUAUUUGUUUGUUCGUCAUCAGUUUAAAAUGGCAUUCUUAAACGAACUUAAGCAAGAUUUGCAUCUUGCUCAAAAGCAUUAUAUGCAGGCUUAUCAUAAUUUACUAGAAACAAGAAUGACAGAUACAAACGCGGUAGAAAUAAAAACUGUUGCUGGGUUUAUAAAUUAUAAGUUGUGCAGGAUAAUGUUUUGUUUGAAUCUUCCAAAAGAUGCUAUUUCUCAAUUUAGGCUCCAUACAGAAAGAUUCAAGUUAAAAACUGGUCCGAAGGAACUUAUGUUUGAACACCACGCUUGGAUGAGUAGCCAGUAUUCCACAUUUGCAGAAUUAUUUGACGAAGCUAUUCGUCAGGGAUUGCCCGCUGUUCAAACUCAACAUCCUGGAUACUAUUUUCAAUUAGCUGCCAAUCACGCAGGUUUACGACAGUCCGCGUGCAAAGAACUCUGUCAAAAUAUAAAUAGUUAUCCAGAUCCAGAUCCGUUAGUGGGAGAAGAGAAACUUGAAUUUUAUGGACAACGGCCGUGGAGGCCCGGAAAAUUAAGUGCGGAACCUGCAGAUACAGCUAGAGAAGCUAUUGGCAUACAGGCUUUGCAAUACAGAGAGAAAACAGUUAAUCAUUCCAUGAUCAUUAUUGGAUUAUUGGGAAACGCGAUAUCGCAAUUCAAAGUGUACCGUUGCCCUAGAAUGCGACGAUUGUUAGUUGUGCAAAUGGCAGAGGAGUACUUCAAUGCUCGGGAUUACGGCAAGGUCCUCACAUUAUUGAUGCACAUGUUGUGGGAAUAUCAUGGGGAACGAUGGCCGGUCUUGCUCACGGACAUCUUGAAGAACGCGUUGAGAGCCGCGUAUCUGUCCACCAGCAUUCAAGAUUAUCUCACUUUAGCUCUCGAAGCACUAGGACCUUCAACUACGUUUUCUGAGGAGCGACAAGCGUUUAUUUACAAUAAUGUUACAAAUAUACUACAGAGAAAGCCACCGAAUCCAGAGCCGGAUUUGCCAGACGACGUUAAACAUCUUGCGAUGGAGAAGUGGAUGUUGGAACUGAGCCGACCCGAGCCAAGUAGUUUUACAAUCGAUGACAAUAACAUGACAUUCGUCGAGCUUAAAGCGCGGUUUUUGCAGCGAACGUAUGCGGUAAACACACCGGUGACGGUGGAAGUUAUUGUAAGAAACUGUUACUGCGGCAUCAUUGAAUUUUCUAACGUGUUAAUAACGAUCAGUGGUCCGGGAUACAAUGCCGAGAUUCCAGUUAGUAAUGCUCAACAAUCCGAUCUGAUCUUUCAAGCAAAAGAAACAAAGAAGUUUUACUUUAAAUUUAGGGCGCCUCAUCAGAACGACGGUGUAGAAAUUCGCGUCAGCACGGUCUCGUUGCAAAUAGGUGAUAAGGCGCGUUGCUGCAUCAUAUUGAGAUUCUCAGCGAUGGGUAGAGAAACGAGUUUGUUAGAUCGUUUAUAUCCUGAAAUACAGCAUCUUCGUGGAGGCGAGUUUGAGGCAAUAAGACCAUUAAUUCACGCGGAAAUCAAGCAGGAAGAAUCAAGUUUAAAUAUAAACACAGAAUCUAAUAAUCCCGCGCUCUUAGGAGAGUGGCUGCCCAUCACAAUAUCUUUAUCAGCCACCGAGAAUGUUAAUGCAAUUUGUUUACAUGUGAUACUCGUGUCUGACGGUAGUAACGAUCAAUCGACUGAAUUAAGCAUAAACAUGUUGAAUAAGGAAUCGAAAGUAUCGAUUCUUGUUGGUGACAUGUCAAAGGGCUCCUCGGCCAAACACACUGUUUACAUUAGAGCACAUAAAAUAGGCGACAGAAAUAUCGUAAUAAAGGCGGAUUAUUCCAGAACCGAACAAAUCAGAGGAAGCAAAGAAUUGACGUAUACGUUAGCAGUUAAAAAACCGUUCGAAGUCGCGACGCAAUUUUACACCACGUUGUUCGAGCCGCUGACAAAAGGAUUUGUUAACGAACCCUUCAUCAUUAUGCCUCAUAUCACAUGUGUUUCUCCGUGGCCCAUAAACAUUCUAAGCACAACUAUAGAAUUGGCAGAUUCCAUUGAAAGAGAGAACAGUUCCGACAAUCAGUCCAUUUUAACGGGUAUUACAUUAUGCGACGGCGAGACAGGGACUGACGCUUAUUGUUUGAUUCCAAAAACAGGCGGCGAGCAGCCUAUGAGUACCGGAGUGUAUACUAUUAGAUGGAAAAGAGCAAACGAUGAAUCCGCAUUAGAGACCAGUAGCAGUGUGACUUUAGCUCCUUUGCUGGUCGAGAACACGGUGAUCGGAUUGGAAGCCAAAAUGCCAGCGCACGGAUGGGUUCGCACACCAUUUUGUAUAUCGUACUUUAUAAAGAAUCAUUCCGAUUAUCUCAUCACUCUACGCCUGGCUAUGGAAGGCAGCGACGCUUUUAUGUUUGCCGGACAAAAGCAAAUUGAUAUUUACGUAUUGCCCAGAAACGUUCGAAAGAUCGACUGGGUUUUACGACCGUUGGUGGCCGGUUUUGUUGCGCUUCCAACUCUAUCGUUAACUGCACCUGCAGAUGAAGAACACAAGCUGGGCAAGGGACGAUUGUCAGAGGUGGUCGAGCGUUCGUUGCCGAGUCACAUAUACAUACUGGUAAGUGAAGCCAAAAUCGCAGUCGUUAGAAGAAUAAGCAAAAUAAUUGGAAUUGAUUUUUGUAAAGAAAAGAACGUUAUGUAUCUUCUCCCAUCAAAAACUGUAUUAUACAAGAUUUAAGCAUAAAUUUUUUGCACGAAUAUUUGUAGGAGUCGUGAAUGUAUCAUAUUCAUUAGAAAAUUGUGAGUAUAGAUUUAUUAAGAAAAUAUAUAAUUUAUUUUUAAACUGUUCCCUAUUUCUCAUGUGUAUAAAGAGAAUUUAGAAGAAAAUAUUCUAAUACUGUACAAAACGCGGUGUUUAAAUUUUUAACCUCUCGAUCCUCAUUAGGCCGAGUCUACAAUGGUGUCACGAUCAUUGCAGAUCCGACCUUACCUUGUGCGUUACCGUCACUUUGGGUUACCGUAGAAACCAAUUUACUCUACACCGGUAAACGUGUGAACUUUUUCCUUUUUCGUAAAAUUUAUAUUUCUUUUGUAUUAAAAAGUAAUUUCAAUCAACACAAAAAAUCGUAAAACAAAUUUGGUCGUUAGUGUAUAUUGCACUGUCAAUUGUAUGGUAGACUUAUUGCAAAAUGGCAAAGAGUGGCAACAUUGGAACUGUUUUCGACGAGUACCUGCAAAAAGAACAGCAAUUCGAACAAGAAGUAACAGAACGUAAUAAAUUACGUAAUGAAAUUCGCAAUAGGAAUCAUGUUAACGUUUCCGAUUCAUCAUCACGUCUUCCUAUAAAUUUGGAAAAAUCUCGCAUUCGCAAUCAAGCUCUUCUAAAGGAUUUGGAGAUGUCUAGAGCACGUCUGAGAACUUACGCAUCUUACACACCUACCGACGCGGAAUUGCAACAAAUCUCGUUGGCCUAUCAGAGUUAUCUUCAGAGAAAGAUCCGAAGCGCGGAAUCUUGAUGAGAUCACAGUAUUUUCACGUUAUCGAUUAUAUAUAUAUAUAUAUAUAUACAUAUAUUUGACCGACGAUCGUUGAUUGAUCAACCUGAUAACUCGAGCCGAACGAACAAACUUCGAAAAUAAAAAGUUUGUUGAUCGUUGGGAUCGAUGAAUCGGGUUGAUUAUUAUAUUUGCGUGUCUCUUUUGCCGCAACAGCCUCACGUCCACGCGCGUCAAACGAAACGAGAACAAACUUGUGUGCAAAUAUCGCAAAGACAAAUUUUUGAUUUCACGAGAUAUUCUUAUCUCGCACACUUUUAUUUACGCACUUCCAAACGGGCUCGAAUUAUUUUCAAGAACAGUCGUUAUAUUUUUCAUAAAGCAACGGCUGAUAAAAUGUAAUUGUAUAACAAAUCGAUUGUAACUGUCACUAUGUGAAUAUGCAUAUAACAAGAAAAGCGCAUCAUCGAUGUAGCAAUAUUGUGUAUCAAAAAAUAAUGUCAACGUGUAAUCUCUCUCUACUGUAAAUGAACGUACACUCGCAGUUGACUACUUGCUUUCUUGCGGAGUAUCAACUACACAAACAGAAAUCUAACGAAGCUAAUUUACACGCUAAUCUACCUAGCUCAAAGGUCUCGGGAACUGAUUACAAUCGCAAAUGUGUUAUUUUUUUCUUAAAAACGCACACGACGGUCUAAACUUACCGUAUGAUUGAAUUUUGAUGCACGCUUUUUUUUUAUAUUCGGCAUCGUCUAAGGAAGCUUCUUGCGGAAUUAUGCGCAAAGAGACACGCGCGUAAAGAUGUGUCAAGGCAAGUGGCGCGAGGUGCUGUCUACCUGUGUGUCCAUGUAUGCCAUAUUCAUAUUCAUUUUCUGUGACCGCACUAUUAUCGCCGAUAAUUACUGGCGCGCAUAACAUGCACACACGAUAGGACGCGGCCACGUAUUCAGAAGUCACCUGAUAAGAAGUCCAGGCCAAUAAUUCGCGCCGGGAACUCGCAAUUUUUAUUUUACACCUUUCUGUCUCUUGCGCAAAAUGCGUUAAUAUGACUUCACUCUUGAACUUCGUGGAUUAUUUUUUUUUUCUUUUUGCCUCUUCGACCAACUGUUACAAUUCGCGACGAGAUUGAUUUUAUGAUUCUCGGGAAGAGCCGAUUGUCGAGUAGCUUCACGAAUUUUUCAAAAUUGUACAAUUUACGCAAAAAACUACGCGACGCGUCCUUGUUCUAUUGUUCUACUUACCUUUUGCAUGCGUAAAAAAUAUAACAACAAAAAAUAUUAAUAAGUAAACUACUUGUAAUUAUAGUUCUGCACACGGCAAUAAAUUUAGAAAUACUGAGAGAUACGCAAAGUGAGAUGUGACAAAUGCGUUUUCAACGUUUAAUCUUGUACGUGGCACGUAACUAUCAGCAGCUGAAUAAACGAAUUAACGUUGUGACUCUUUUGACCAUUGCCAAUACUCGCGGCCAUCUGUAUCAACAGCCUCAAUAUCUCGAGGAUAUACCGUUUUCUUUCGCAGUUUGGUCAAAGACCCCGCGCAACGGUUCCACACGGAUGUAUAUAUUCAAAAAAAAUAAUCCUCGCGAAAUUUUCGAGUACAUUACUUUCCGACACUUUACGCAGCACAAUAAAAAGCAUUAUAUGGCGUAUUAAAUUUAUCUAUCUGGAACGUCGCAGAUCACGUUUCUAAACCAAUAAAAUCCGUUUUAUGAAAUUCAUAAAAAACAAAAAAAGAAAAUAUUGCGCUUCACAGCGCUUAUCGUUCGCCUGAUUGCAUAAGUAUAAACCGGUAU